rnacentral:rRNA from 1 species
CCUACGGGGGGCAGCAGUCGAGAAUCAUUCACAAUGGGGGAAACCCUGAUGGUGCGACGCCGCGUGGGGGAAUGAAGGUCUUCGGAUUGUAAACCCCUGUCAUGUGGGAGCAAAUUAACAAGAUAGUACCACAAGAGGAAGAGACGGCUAACUCUGUGCCAGCAGCCGCGGUAAUACAGAGGUCUCAAGCGUUGUUCGGAAUCACUGGGCGUAAGGCGUGCGUAGGCUGUUUCGUAAGUCGUGUGUGAAAGGCGCGGGCUCAACCCGCGGACGGCACAUGAUACUGCGAGACUAGAGUAAUGGAGGGGGAACCGGAAUUCUCGGUGUAGCAGUGAAAUGCGUAGAUAUCGAGAGGAACACUCGUGGCGAAGGCGGGUUCCUGGACAUUAACUGACGCUGAGGCACGAAGGCCAGGGGAGCGAAAGGGAUUAGAUACCCCGGUAGUC